UUAUUUUAAAUUGCUUUUUCUUUAAAAACUCGUAGUAAUUUCAUUUUUUUUAUCCAAAAAAUCCCAAAAUAAUUUCUAAAAUUCUCUUUUAUUUUUCUUCAUUUGAUUUUUAUUUUUCCAUAUUUUAUUUCAUUGAUUUUCUAUUUUUUUUUGUGAAUUUUCUCUUUUCUCCUUUGUUUUAAUUGGUUUAACAAUAAUUUUCAGCCUUUUUAAAUUCUGAAAAAUUUAUUAUAUGUUUCUCAAUUUAUUUCCAACCUUCCAUAAUUGUCUUCGCCUUUUAU
rnacentral:lncRNA from 1 species